AUAUUUGGGUUACUGUUCAGAGUAGAUCGUUCGUUUUACAUUCGAGAAGAGUUUACAUAUUACUUGAAUGAAGAGGAUAACAUAAUACUGAGCUAAAAAUUUUGUGUAAAGUAUGUUUUCAGUUUAGUUCACAAUACAAGCUGUAAAUGUGCUGGAGAUUUUAUUGAUGUUGAAGCUUGUAAACAAAACCAAUAAACGUAGGACUUAUUCACGGCAAUGUAUGGGAACCAGAGCUGGGAACCAGUCUAGAAGGCAAAGAAAAUUCCGCCAAGUAAACAACAAAGAAAGGGAUUUGGGAUGUCAGUUGUAUACAUUAUGUGGGCCGGUGACUGCAAGAAGCGAGGAAUGUGGAGCUAAUGCAUGCUGCUAAGGAUGGAAAGUUCUUGUGUUUAUUGGUUGUUCCUGAGACACCAGUCACAGUUGUACUUUAUUUCCAUUUUAGAAGCAAGGAAUGUGGAGCUAAUGCAUGCUGCUAAGGAUGGAAAGGUGUUGUGUAUAUUGGUUGUGCCUGAGACACCAGUCACAGUUGUUCUUUAUUUCCAUUUUAGGGAGUCUAUAUACACUUGAGAGGUGAGCGUCAGAUUUAAUUUUGAAGAUUGAUGACUUUCAGAUGUUGUGAUGAAGAUUGUUGAAAGAGAUUAUCAACAUAGAACCAAUCCAUAUGAAUGUGCAAGUCAGGACUUGUACAACACCUGAGUACCCAGAUGACUGUUGAACUAAUUGGUGAACAAGAAAAGAUGUCAGAGAGGGGAAUCCAAAACAGAUGUCAUGAUCAAGAAAAUGUACUGUUAUCAAUGAUAUGAUCAAAAAUUUGUAAACUUGUAGCGAUUUAGAAUAUCUUAUCUGUAAUAUAACUCUUCAAUACUUAAUUGUUCACACAUUAUCAUCUUAUCUGUGUAUUAAUCGCCCCCUCUUAUAUAACCCCCUGCUGAUUGUAAUGACCUGUGUAUUGAUUCCUGAUCUUAAGGAUCUUAUAAAUGGAAAUAUAGAAGACUUAGUAGAUAGAACUGUUAGAGAUAGAUAAAGUUACUUACUUACUUGGAAUAUAACCUAAUAUUUCUUGGAUUUAUAUUUACAUGUGAUUAUUUAACUUUGAUUUUAUUUUUAGUGAAUUAUUUUUCCUGAAUGUUUCUAUUUGUGAUGUGCUGUGUAAAUAAACUGUAGACUAGAAUUUCGGCAAGAUAUGAGGAACAAGGAUAAAUUGAUUUAUUCAUGCAAACUGACAUUAUGAAAUGUGUUAUAAGACUGCCUGAUGCGGCGCUACAAACUAACUAGUAAAUAUCUUGGAGAUUUAUAGAUGAACAUGCAAGCAUUCUUGGUUUUAAAUGUUAUUCAUUCAGAGUUUUUGCACAAAUUCAAUUUUCAGUACAGUAAUUUAAACUGGAUAUGUGAUUUUCAGUACAGUUAUGUAAAAUGAAUAUGUUACUUUAUUUUGAUUGUCAGU